GGCAGCAUGGCUCAGUGGAAAGAGCCUGGGCUUUGGAGUCAGAGGUCAUGGGUUCAACUCCCGGCUCUGCCA
rnacentral:tRNA from 1 species